UAAUCAGGUGGAAGGAAUGGGGGAUAGAGAUGGAUGGUGAGCACAUUUUAGGCCAGCGAACAGAACAGAAUGUGUGAAAAGAUUCAAGAGAGAAGAGUCAUGGAAGAAAAAAAAACUAGAUAACCAAGUUGAAGCCAGUGGAUGGAAACCUAAUCAAGCUAAGGAAUAAGACUGGAUAUGGUUGCCAAAAAGCGUCCCUGAGAGACUGGGAAGAUGUGUACAGAGUUUUUCCUUUAGGAUGGUCAAUGGCAGAGUGGAAAAUACAACUAGAGCAGAUACUAUCUGAGGUCUGUUUAAAUCCCCGUGGAUGCCUUUGAAGCCUCAACAGGUGUUUUCAUGUUUCUUCUAACUACCUGCAUCUGCCAUUCUCUGCAGAGGAUUGCCUUCAAGCCCCUUGGUCUGUCCUAGCAAAGACCCAAAAGUGCCUGGACUUUACUCCCCACCUCCACCCCGCCCAAGCAGUCCUGAGCCAAUGAUGAAGGCUGGAGUCUGAGCCCUUUCUCCCUUGCCAAGAGUUAGGACACUGAGGUGAGGUUUGCGUUCCAAAGCUCCCUGGCAAUAUCAGGUUAAGGUUUAAACUGGCCCAAAAUCACAUUCUCACCUGUCUCUUCUUCCACUACAUUACCAGCUUCUCCCGGAACAGUUCCUUAAUAA